CCACCUCAGAUAUGGAUUAUAUAUCUAAUCAACCUCUUUCUUUCCUCCUCUUUUUUUUUUUUUGAGACCAAGUCUUAUGUAGCCGAGGCUGGCCUUUAGUCAUUAUGAAGCCAAGGAUGACCUUGAAUUUCUUCCUGACCCUCCUGCUUCAGCCUCCUGAACACUGAGAUGCUGGGAUGCUGGCUAUGGGGAUUUACAGGGCACCGAAACUGGCUUUGAACUCCUUACCUUCCUGCCUCCAUCUCCCAAAUUCUGGGAUUACAAACACAUCACCAAACCCAGCUUCUGUCUUCAGUGUCUUUCCCCCCCAUAAUCUUAUUGAUUCUUUGGGAAUUUCACAUUAUACAUCCCAAUCCCACUCACUUCCCAGUCCUUCCAUAUCUACACUCCACCCUUGUAACCUCCCCCUGAAAGAAAAUUAAAAUUAAAAAACAAACAACAAAAUGAA